GGUUAAGCGACUAAGCGUACACGGUGGAUGCCCUGGCAGUCAGAGGCGAUGAAGGACGUGCUAAUCUGCGAUAAGCGUCGGUAAGGUGAUAUGAACCGUUAUAACCGGCGAUUUCCGAAUGGGGAAACCCAGUGUGAUUCGUCACACUAUCAUUAACUGAAUCCAUAGGUUAAUGAGGCGAACCGGGGGAACUGAAACAUCUAAGUACCCCGAGGAAAAGAAAUCAACCGAGAUUCCCCCAGUAGCGGCGAGCGAACGGGGAGGAGCCCAGAGCCUGAAUCAGUGUGUGUGUUAGUGGAAGCGUCUGGAAAGGCGCGCGAUACAGGGUGACAGCCCCGUACACAAAAAUGCACAUGCUGUGAGCUCGAUGAGUAGGGCGGGACACGUGGUAUCCUGUCUGAAUAUGGGGGGACCAUCCUCCAAGGCUAAAUACUCCUGACUGACCGAUAG
rnacentral:rRNA from 1 species